GAUGAACGCUGGCGGCGUGCUUAACACAUGCAAGUCGAACGGAAAGGCUCCUGCUUGCAGGGGUACUCGAGUGGCGAACGGGUGAGUAACACGUGGGUGAUCUGCCCUGCACUUCGGGAUAAGCCUGGGAAACUGGGUCUAAUACCGGAUAGGACCACAUUUUGGAUGGUGUGGUGGAAAGUUUUUCGGUGUGGGAUGAGCUCGUGGCCUAUCAGCUUGUUGGUGGGGUAAUGGCCUACCAAGGCGUCGACGGGUAGCCGGCCUGAGAGGGUGUACGGCCACAUUGGGACUGAGAUACGGCCCAGACUCCUACGGGAGGCAGCAGUGGGGAAUAUUGCACAAUGGGCGCAAGCCUGAUGCAGCGACGCCGCGUGGGGGAUGACGGCCUUCGGGUUGUAAACUCCUUUCGCUAGGGACGAAGCGUUUUUGUGACGGUACCUGGAGAAGAAGCACCGGCUAACUACGUG
rnacentral:rRNA from 1 species